rnacentral:rRNA from 1 species
GACGAACGCUGGCGGCGUGCUCAACACAUGCAAGUCGAACGGAAAGGCCCUGCUUUUGUGGGGUGCUCGAGUGGCGAACGGGUGAGUAACACGUGAGUAACCUGCCCUUUACUUUGGGAUAACUUCCGGACACUGGGGCUCAUACCGGAUAGGAGCUCCUGCUGCAUGGUGGGGGUUGGGAAGUUUCGGCGGUUGGGGAUGGACUCGCGGCUUAUCAGCUUGUUGGUGGGGUAGUGGCUUACCAAGGCUUUGACGGGUAGCCGGCCUGAGAGGGUGACCGGCCACAUUGGGACUGAGAUACGGCCCAGACUCCUACGGGAGGCAGCAGUGGGGAAUAUUGCACAAUGGGCGGAAGCCUGAUGCAGCAACGCCGCGUGCGGGAUGACGGCCUUCGGGUUGUAAACCGCUUUCGCCUGUGACGAAGCGUGAGUGACGGUAAUGGGUAAAGAAGCACCGGCUAACUACGUG